GACGAACGCUGGCGGCGUGCUUAACACAUGCAAGUCGAACGAGACGAUUUAGAAGCUUGCUUUUAUUGAGUCGAGUGGCAAACGGGUGAGUAACGCGUAGACAACCUGCCGCAAAGAUGGGGACAACAGUCCGAAAGGACUGCUAAUACCGAAUGUUGUAUCUCCUCCGCAUGGAAGAGAUAUUAAAGAUGGGCCUCUACUUGUAAGCUAUCGCUUUGCGAUGGGUCUGCGUCUGAUUAGCUAGUUGGUGGGGCAACGGGCCUACCAAGGCGACGAUCAGUAGCCGGUCUGAGAGGAUGAACGGCCACAUUGGAACUGAGACACGGUUCCAGACUCCUACGGGAGCAGCAGUGGGGAA
rnacentral:rRNA from 1 species